GAUGAACGCUGGCGGCGUGCUUAACACAUGCAAGUCGAACGAAGCAUUUAAGACAGAUUUUUUCGGAAUGAAGUUUUUUAUGACUGAGUGGCGGACGGGUGAGUAACGCGUGGGUAACCUGCCUCACACAGGGGGAUAGCAGUUGGAAACGACUGGUAAUACCGCAUAAGCGCACAGCUUCGCAUGAAGCGGUGUGAAAAACUCCGGUGGUGUGAGAUGGACCCGCGUCUGAUUAGGUAGUUGGUGAGGUAACGGCCCACCAAGCCGACGAUCAGUAGCCGACCUGAGAGGGUGACCGGCCACAUUGGGACUGAGACACGGCCCAGACUCCUACGGGAGGCAGCAGUGGGGAAUAUUGCACAAUGGAGGAAACUCUGAUGCAGCGACGCCGCGUGAGUGAAGAAGUAUUUCGGUAUGUAAAGCUCUAUCAGCAGGGAAGACAGUGACGGUACCUGACUAAGAAGCUCCGGCUAAAUACGUGCCAGCCGCCGCGGUAA
rnacentral:rRNA from 1 species